AUAGAUAAACCACCUGAAAAUGACCACCAUUUCCAGUUCCAAAGCUCAAGCUCAAGCCAGUCAGAAGUUCCGUUUACCAGCUCUGUGUCGUCCCAUGCGAGGUUUUCGAGUCUGUGUGUUCCGUCUGAGGUUUGUCAAUUUCCGGCGAUCUUCGAGGUCAUCGAAGUUCGCUAUCCGGGCUCCUGUUACUGUUGCUUCUUC
rnacentral:lncRNA from 1 species